rnacentral:sRNA from 1 species
GUCAAAGGAAUACAGUCUAAGUUCGCGCCAUCGUGUCGCAACGACUGCAUAACCUGCAUCCGACAGU